rnacentral:piRNA from 1 species
UGGUUAUUCAAAGGAAACAGAUAUGGGGA